AACGAACGCUGGCGGCAUGCCUAACACAUGCAAGUCGAACGAGACCUUCGGGUCUUGUGGCGCACGGGUGCGUAACGCGUGGGAACCUUCCCUUAGGUUCGGAAUAACUCCCCGACAGGGGUGCUAAUACCGGAUAAUGUCUUCGGACCAAAGAUUUAUCGCCUUUGGUUGGGCCCGCGUUGGAUUAGCUUGUUGGUAGGGUAAAAGCCUACCAAGGCGACGAUCCAUAGCUGGUCUGAGAGGAUGAUCAGCCACACUGGGACUGAGACACGGCCCAGACUCCUACGGGAGGCAGCAGUGGGGAAUAGUGGACAAUGGGCGAAAGCCUGAUCCAGCAAUGCCGGGUGAGUGAUGAAGGCCUGAGGGUUGUAAAGCUCUUUUACCCGGGAUGAUAAUGACAGUACCGGGAGAAUAAGCUCCGGCUAACUCCGUG
rnacentral:rRNA from 1 species